rnacentral:snRNA from 1 species
AUACUCAAUUCAGCAGCACAUAUUCUAAAAUUGGAAUGAUACAGAGAGAUAGCAUGGCCCUUGUGCAAUGAUAACACACAAAUUCGUGAAGUGUUCCAUAUUUUU